rnacentral:tRNA from 1 species
GGCGAUGUAGCUCAGUCGGUUAGAGCGGAGUCUUCAUAAGGCUUAGGUCAGCGGUUCGAGUCCGCUCAUCGCUAC